UGGGGAAUAUUGGACAAUGGGCGCAAGCCUGAUCCAGCCAUGCCGCGUGGGUGAUGAAGGCCCUAGGGUUGUAAAGCCCUUUCAGCGGGGAAGAUAAUGACGGUACCCGCAGAAGAAGCCCCGGCUAACUUCGUGCCAGCAGCCGCGGUAAUACGAAGGGGGCUAGCGUUGCUCGGAAUUACUGGGCGUAAAGCGCACGUAGGCGGCUUUCUAAGUCGGGGGUGAAAUCCUGGAGCUCAACUCCAGAACUGCCUUCGAUACUGGAAAGCUCGAGUCCGGGAGAGGUGAGUGGAACUGCGAGUGUAGAGGUGAAAUUCGUAGAUAUUCGCAAGAACACCAGUGGCGAAGGCGGCUCACUGGCCCGGUACUGACGCUGAGGUGCGAAAGCGUGGGAGCAAACAGGAUUAGAUACCCUGGUAGUCCACGCCGUAACGAUGAUAACUAGCUGUCGGGGCUCUUAGAGCUUCGGUGGCGCAG
rnacentral:rRNA from 1 species